UGGAAGGGAAACGUAGUGAGGGAAGACAACAGUAUUCCCGUUAAUUGAACGACUCUCGUAGAGAACGAGGGGGGGUGGCGGCAAGACGAGGUGGCCAGGGACGGAGGGGGAGGAUUACUCGCGCCUCGUCCAAGGAUCAGCGGAAAUUUCUAUCGGUUUACAAAAUGAUUGUAAAAUCGACCGAGGGAGCGAUUCCGAAUCAACGAAUUCGCGACUCAUUUAUUAUCUUUCGGGGUUACACACACUCUGACGCUGCAGUAUUCAAUGAACCUCGACGAAGACACUAUUGGACACAUAUGCAGCCAUGUUCGAGCGACAGGCGUUCAAUCGGACCCUUCGGGCAAACCUUCCCGGUCAUCCGAGUUACAAAGAUUUUGGAGUACUACUAUAGUAUACGCGGAAGCUAAGAUGACGCAAGAUUCGUAGGACGCGAAUGACUCUGUGUUUGGAUGUAUGGGUGACCUAGAAACUAGUUUACAGUUCUGGUGCAGAUGAGAAACUACGUGUUGGCAAGAGUGGCUACACUCACACAGGAAUGUGGAAAUCAGUCUCUAAAUCAGUCAGUCCUCCAGGUCUUGCAACCUUGAAAGCCUUUGACACAAGAGACACCGAAACUACAAUCUCAAAGUGCAACUUUAAUGACGUACAACACCCCCAA